rnacentral:rRNA from 1 species
AUUGAACGCUGGCGGCAGGCCUAACACAUGCAAGUCGAACGGUAACAGGAAGAAGCUUGCUUCUUUGCUGACGAGUGGCGGACGGGUGAGUAAUGUCUGGGAAACUGCCUGAUGGAGGGGGAUAACUACUGGAAACGGUAGCUAAUACCGCAUAACGUCGCAAGACCAAAAAGGGGGACCUUCGGGCCUCUUGCCAUCGGAUGUGCCCAGAUGGGAUUAGCUAGUAGGUGGGGUAACGGCUCACCUAGGCGACGAUCCCUAGCUCGUCUGAGAGGAUGACCAGCCACACUGGAAUUAGGACGCGGGACAAACUCCGAAGGGAGGCAGCAGUCGGGAAUAGUGCACAAUGGGCGCAAGCCUGAUGCAGCAAUGCCGCGUGUAUGAAAAAGGCCUUCGGGUUGUAAAGUACUUUCAGCGGGGAGGAAGGGAGUAAAGUUAAUACCUUUGCUCAUUGACGUUACCCUCAUAAGAAGCACCGGCUAACUCCGUG